rnacentral:rRNA from 1 species
UGCUGACAUAAGUAACGAUAAAGCGGGUGAAAAGCCCGCUCGCCGGAAGACCAAGGGUUCCUGUCCAACGUUAAUCGGGGCAGGGUGAGUCGACCCCUAAGGCGAGGCCGAAAGGCGUAGUCGAUGGGAAACAGGUUAAUAUUCCUGUACUUGGUGUUACUGCGAAGGGGGGACGGAGAAGGCUAUGUUAGCCGGGCGACGGUUGUCCCGGUUUAAGCAUGUAGGCUGGUUAUCCAGGCAAAUCCGGAUAAUCAAGGCUGAGGUGUGAUGACGAGGCACUACGGUGCUGAAGUAACAAAUGCCCU